ensembl:lncRNA LINC02607 long intergenic non-protein coding RNA 2607
AGCAGACUGAAGGGAACACAACUAUGAUGAUUCUCUAUGCUGUACUUGGAGAAGGCUGGUUAGUCAUAAGUUUUAAAGCAGGUCAGUAUGGUGGAUUUCCAGUCUGCCAGCCUCCUUUGCAGUGGGUUGGGACCGAGUGACGGCUUCUGGCAAAUGAACUCCUACUCAACAUGAAGAUGACAAGAAGGAAGACCUUUAUGAUGAUCCACUUUUGCUUAGUUUUUAGAUCAAAAAGAAUUGUACUCAAGGAAUUGAAGCUAUGGAGCCUCUGCCACAUCUGGACCUGAUUUUGAUGACAAGAUCCUGUACCUCAAGCCCGAGACUAAUUUCAUAAUUUGAUGAAUCUUUUUGGAGAGUCAUGGGAGGAAUGUAAACAAUUUGUGGCCAAAGGAGAAUUAUGGUAGUUUGAAGAUGUGGAUACAAAUUAUUUGACAUUCUUCUCAUAGAAAGGUGAUGCUUAUGUCUCCACCCCUUGUAAACAAGCUGGCUUGUGACUUUGACCUAUAGUGUAUGGUGGGAGUGAUGCUGUGGAACUGGAAUUACUAGCAUCAGGAAACCUACUUGCUACAGACCCAACAACGUGCAAUGAUCAGAUCCCAAUUUAGACUGUAAAAAGACCAAUAUCAGAGACUAAGAACUGAGAUCAAACAUACCUUCUUCCUGUACCAAACAGUUCUGGGGCCAAAUAUUGUCUACUGUCUCUAUGCUAACUAGUACUGAAACCAGGCAAAAUUAACUACUUAGCCGCUUGUUCCAGGAAAUACC